AAAUGAAUUGACGGGGGCCCGCACAAGCAGUGGAGUAUGUGGUUUAAUUCGAAGCAACGCGAAGAACCUUACCAGGUCUUGACAUCAAGUGACCACUUAAGAGAUUAAGUCUUCCCUUCGGGGACACGAAGACAGGUGGUGCAUGGUUGUCGUCAGCUCGUGUCGUGAGAUGUUGGGUUAAGUCCCGCAACGAGCGCAACCCUUAUCAUUAGUUGCUACGCAAGAGCACUCUAAUGAGACUGCCGUUGACAAAACGGAGGAAGGUGGGGAUGACGUCAAAUCAUCAUGCCCUUUAUGACCUGGGCUACACACGUACUACAAUGGCAUUUAACAAUGGGACGCAACACCGCGAGGUUGAGCAAAUCCCCAAAAAAUGUCUCAGUUCGGAUUGUAGGCUGCAACUCGCCUACAUGAAGUCGGAAUUGCUAGUAAUCGUAGAUCAGAAUGCUACGGUGAAUACGUUCCCGGGCCUUGUACACACCGCCCGU
rnacentral:rRNA from 1 species